GGAAGUUGUCCUCAAAGUAAUAUGGCCCUUUCCCUGUGAUUAAGAGAGAGGGGAAGUGGCUUAUACUUUACAACUUCCGCAACACUCCCGGAUUCACCCUACAUUUCAUGUUUUUCAAUUGAAAAAGCAUGUGGGAACGAAUCCAACCCAAGCUCACUGGCCAUUGGUGGAUGACCAUGGGGCUUUGCCUAAGGAACCAGUCCGAAUUAUCGACAGGAGGAUAGUUAAAAAAGGCAGCCAGGCAGUAACGGAAUUUUU
rnacentral:lncRNA from 1 species